rnacentral:rRNA from 1 species
GACGAACGCUGGCGGCGUGCUUAACACAUGCAAGUCGAACGGAAAGGCCCUGCUUUUGUGGGGUGCUCGAGUGGCGAACGGGUGAGUAACACGUGAGUAACCUGCCCUUGACUUUGGGAUAACUUCAGGAAACUGGGGCUAAUACCGGAUAGGAGCUCCUGCUGCAUGGUGGGGGUUGGAAAGUUUCGGCGGUUGGGGAUGGACUCGCGACUUAUCAGCUUGUUGGUGGGGUAGUGGCUUACCAAGGCUUUGACGGGUAGCCGGCCUGAGAGGGUGACCGGCCACAUUGGGACUGAGAUACGGCCCAGACUCCUACGGGAGGCAGCAGUGGGGAAUAUUGCACAAUGGGCGGAAGCCUGAUGCAGCAACGCCGCGUGCGGGAUGACGGCCUUCGGGUUGUAAACCGCUUUCGCCUGUGACGAAGCGUGAGUGACGGUAAUGGGUAAAGAAGCACCGGCUAACUACGUGCCAGCAGCCGCGGUGAUACGUAGGGUGCGAGCGUUGUCCGGAUUUAUUGGGCGUAAAGGGCUCGUAGGUGGUUGAUCGCGUCGGAAGUGUAAUCUUGGGGCUUAACCCUGAGCGUGCUUUCGAUACGGGUUGACUUGAGGAAGGUAGGGGAGAAUGGAAUUCCUGGUGGAGCGGUGGAAUGCGCAGAUAUCAGGAGGAACACCAGUGGCGAAGGCGGUUCUCUGGGCCUUUCCUGACGCUGAGGAGCGAAAGCGUGGGGAGCGAACAGGCUUAGAUACCCUGGUAGUCCACGCUGUAAACGGUGGGUACUAGGUGUGGGGUCCAUUCCACGGGUUCCGUGCCGUAGCUAACGCUUUAAGUACCCCGCCUGGGGAGUACGGCCGCAAGGCUAAAACUCAAAGGAAUUGACGGGGCCCCGCACAAGCGGCGGAGCAUGCGGAUUAAUUCGAUGCAACGCGUAGAACCUUACCUGGGUUUGACAUGGAUCGGGAGCGCUCAGAGAUGGGUGUGCCUCUUUUGGGGUCGGUUCACAGGUGGUGCAUGGCUGUCGUCAGCUCGUGUCGUGAGAUGUUGGGUUAAGUCCCGCAACGAGCGCAACCCUUGUUCACUGUUGCCAGCACGUUAUGGUGGGGACUCAGUGGAGACCGCCGGGGUCAACUCGGAGGAAGGUGGGGAUGACGUCAAGUCAUCAUGCUCCUUAUGUCCAGGGCUUCACGCAUGCUACAAUGGCUGGUACAGAGAGUGGCGAGCCUGUGAGGGUGAGCGAAUCUCGGAAAGCCGGUCUCAGUUCGGAUUGGGGUCUGCAACUCGACCUCAUGAAGUCGGAGUCGCUAGUAAUCGCAGAUCAGCAACGCUGCGGUGAAUACGUUCCCGGGGCU